GUUCAUUAAGAAAUUAUUACAAUGGGUUAUGAUCAAAAGAUGAAUAUGCACAAGUUUUUCUUCAUCUAUUUUACUGCCAUGCUUUUGUUUUCCCUUUGUGUUUACUCAAAUGUGGAGGAGGAAGCGAAGGUAGCACAUUCACAGCCGAUAGUUUGUUCUACAAUUUGCUCGAGCACUUCCCCUUAUGAAAACGAACAAUGUCAAAAUUCAUGCAUUCGAAGAAGAUUUGAAAAUGGAAGAUGUGCGGUGGGAGGCCCAGAUGGAAAAAUACCAUGUUGUUGCACUUUUAGUUAAAACACUAUUAUUAGCAAUUUUACCAGUUUUAGAUAAGUGAUACGAUUGAUAAAAUAUCAAUAAAUAUUGUAAUGGUUUUGCCAAUUUGAUUAAUAGAAGUUGCUACAAAAAAUUAUUAUUGAACUAAAUUAUAAAGGAAUAUUAAUUUCAUACAUCAAUUCCGUUGUAGUCUAGUUGGUUAGGAUAUUCGGCUCUCACCCGAAAGACCCGGGUUCAAGUCCCGGCAACGGAAUAUAUUUUUUUAAUAAACUUUUGUUAAAAGUUAGUCGUGGGACUUUAGAUGAUUUAUAAAUACUUUAAUUCGGGUAGAAGUAGACUCCUCCAAACGUGAGUAGUGAUGAGCUAAACUCACCUAUGAGAAACAGUGAUUUGUGAUCAGAUUGUUUCUGAAGGAGAAAAAAACUUCUCUAAGAAGUCCUCAAUGGGAUGUAAAUUUAU